UACGUAGGGUGCAAGCGUUAAUCGGAAUUACUGGGCGUAAAGCGUGCGCAGGCGGCUUUGCAAGUCAGAUGUGAAAUCCCCGGGCUUAACCUGGGAACUGCGUUUGAAACUACAAGGCUAGAGGUGUGGCGAGGGGGGUGGAAUUCCGACGUGAGCAGUGAAAUGCGUAGAUAUCGUGAAGGAAGACCAGUGGCGAAGGCGAGUUCCUGGAGAG
rnacentral:rRNA from 1 species